UCUCUGAUAGCUCAGUUGGUAAAGGAUCUGCCUGAAAUGUAGAAGACCAGGGUUCAAUUCCUGGAUGGGGAA
rnacentral:tRNA from 1 species